rnacentral:rRNA from 1 species
AGAUUGAACGCUGGCGGCAUGCCUAACACAUGCAAGUCGAACGAGGGUAGCAAUACUCUAGUGGCGGACGGGUGAGUAAUACGUAGGAAUCUGCCCUUAAGUGGGGGAUAACCCGGGGAAACCCGGAUUAAUACCGCAUAAUCUUCAAGAAGCAAAGCAGGGGAUCGCAAGACCUUGCGCUUUUGGAGGAGCCUACGUCGGAUUAGCUUGUUGGUGGGGUAAUGGCCCACCAAGGCAACGAUCCGUAAC